rnacentral:piRNA from 1 species
UGUCCUUCAUUCGGUUGUCCCAAGUGCUU